GUUAUAGCCCACGCCUUACGAGUUGUCCCGGGACCUCCUGACCCCUAUCGCCUAAAAUUUUUCCGGACUAUCAAAUACGACCUAAGGAACCAUAGUCACCGCCCAGCCAUGAUCGUUACUCAUUUUUGCAUUUUUCGGCCAAAGAACUAGAAUUCCGCCCGAUUCCCAUAUUUUCGUGUGCUACCCGCGCCUUCCCAGUGGUUAGGGCCGCCCGGACCUAGAUAGUUUAAAAUUAUUCCGGGCCAUCGAAUAUGACCUAAGGAACCAUAGUCACUGCUCCGCCAUGACCGUUCCUCGUUCUUUUGCGUUUUACGGCCAAAAAACUAGAAUUUCGCUAGAUUCCCAUAUUUUCAUGUCCUAUAGCCCACGCAUUCUGAGUGGGCCUGGGCCCCCCGGAACCGAAAAGCCUAUAAUUUCUACGGGUUAUC
rnacentral:lncRNA from 1 species